rnacentral:rRNA from 1 species
GACGAACGCUGGCGGCGUGCCUAAUACAUGCAAGUAGAACGCUGAAGGAAGGAGCUUGCUCUUUCUGGAUGAGUUGCGAACGGGUGAGUAACGCGUAGGUAACCUGCCUGGUAGCGGGGGAUAACUAUUGGAAACGAUAGCUAAUACCGCAUAAAAUUGAUUAUUGCAUGAUAGUCAAUUAAAAGGUGCAACUGCACCACUACCAGAUGGACCUGCGUUGUAUUAGCUAGUUGGUGGGGUAACGGCUCACCAAGGCGACGAUACAUAGCCGACCUGAGAGGGUGAUCGGCGAAACUGGGACUGGGACACGGCCCAGACUCCUACGGGAGGCAGCAGUAGGGAAUCUUCGGCAAUGGACGGAAGUCUGACCGAGCAACGCCGCGGGAGUGAAGAAGGUUUUCGGAUCGUAAAGCUCUGUUGUAAGAGAAGAACGAGUGUGAGAGUGGAAAGUUCACACUGUGACGGUAUCUUACCAGAAAGGGACGGCUAACUACGUG